rnacentral:tRNA from 1 species
GCAGUGGAGGUUUAGUGGUAGAACUGUAGCCUUUCACGCUGGAGAACCACUCGGGUUCGAUUCCUGGCCAAUGCA